GACAAGAGUUGUUGAGGAUGUGGAGGAAUUAAAACCCUUUCACACUAUUGGUGGGGAUAGAAAAUGGUACAGCUGCUAUGGAAAAAAGUAUGAGAGUUUCUCAAAAAAUUAGAAGUAAAACUACCAUGUGAUGUAGCAGUCCUGAGCAUUUAUCCAAAAUAAUUUAAAUUGAGAUCUCAAAGACGUAUCAUUCCUGUAUUUGUUGCAGCACUAUUCACAAUAACUAAGAUGUGGAAACAGCCUAAAUGUCCAUCUGCUGAUGAAUGGAUGGAAAAAAUGUGGUAUACACAUAGGAUGGAAUACUGUUUAGCCUUUAAAAAGAAGGAAAUUCUGUAAGAUAUGGCAACAUGGAUGGAUCUUGAGGACAUUUUGCUGAGUGAAAUAAGCCAGACUACUGAAAGACAAAUACCACAUGAUUCUACUUAUUUUAGUAUUUAAAAAUAGUCAAAUUCAUAAACUCAAAGACUAAAAUUGUUACUUGAGGCAGGAGGAGAAGAGGAUGGGGAGUCAUCAACAGGCAUCAAGUUUCAGUUAAGAAGGUUAAAUAAGCCCUAGAUAUCUGCUAUAAAACAUUGUCCCUUCAGUUAAUAACAUACACUUAAAGUUGGUUAAGAACGUAGAGCUCAUGUUAAUAUUCUUACCACAAUAAAGUUAAAAAAAUUAAAAAAAAGAAGUCUCCAUGGAAACAGGUGUACUUCUAGUGUUGAAUGCUGUUUCCUGGAGAAUGUAAGCAUUAAUCUUAAAACACUACAUACCAACUGAUUGUCAUAGAAAGUAGAAAGUGUAUUCUAGUUGGUGUCUGAAAGUUCUAAAAAAAUACAAUAAUGUUUUCUUUUGAGGGGAUAAGAGCCUCAAAUUUCAUUUCCGUCCUUUCCAUUAGACAAAGGAGAAAUGAAUAAAUCAUUGACUCCUAGAUAUCUAAUCUUAAACUGCACAAGGUAUUUUCUUUCUACAAGAACAAAACAUCCUUGUUUGAAGCAGAAUCUACUCCAUCAAGGACCAGAACUUGGGACUUUUGCCAGUCAUUUGGUUUGGGUCACUCCUGCUUUCUAGGGAGUCAUGUAGAACAGUUUAAGGAAUGAAAUGGAAAUGGAAACUCACAAAACUCACUUCCCUAAACUAGAAUCACUUGUACUCCAUGAAACUUUAUGAAGCAGAUGCAGGUAGUUUUGAUCAUUCCCUGUCUUAUAAUUUUGAAAUCUUUUUCUCUUGGGAAAUCAAACUUAAUCCAGAAAAAUCCUGUGCUCUGCUGUUACAGGCCAAGCAUUGUCUCAGGUGCCUUGGCUGAAUUAACUCCUAAUCUUCUCAAUAGUCUAAAAAAGGGAGUGCUCUUGUUACCAUCCCCAUUUUACAGAUGGGGAAAACUAGGCACAGAAAAGUUAAGCUAAAUACCAAGAUUGCAGAGCAAGUACGUGGCAGAAGCAGGAUUUUCUCCCAAGCCUACUAAUUCUAGAGCCAUUUUUAACCAUUUUCUGGAAGGUUACUGGAUAAGUGUCUUGACUGUAUAAACUGAGUGGUGGGUCACUAACCUAUAAAUAUGCACUUCCCUGGUGGCUCGGCAGUAAAGAAUUUGCCUGUGGUAUAGGAGACGGGCAUUUGAUCCUGUAUUGGGAAGAUUCCCUGGAGGGGAACAUGGCAGCCCAGUCCAGUGUUCUUGCCUGGAGAAUCCCAUGGACAGAAGAGCCUGGUGGGCUCUAUUCCACAGGGUCACAGAGUCGGACAGGACUGAAGCAACUGAGCACUAAUGCAUGCAGCCUACAAAUGCAUCAGGAAUGAUUAUCUCAAAGCUGCAAGUCAAAAGACAGAAGAAAAUGAAUAGCAGUGAAAAAGAACUACAUUCAGAGAUCCUAUACUGGCCAGCUGUCCUCUCUUCUGGUGCUGUCACUGGACAUUUGUAGCUAUUCAAGAAUUCAGGGAGUAUAUCCAUAUACCCUCAUCUGAAGAAUUUUGAAAAAUGCAUGUUCCUUUUCUUAAGGGAAUAUGAAGAAGGGAGGAAAACAGAGACCUCCUUCGUCUUACACCUAGGUGAGAGGGACCUCACCUAGGCCUCACACUUUACAGGGCUCCUUAGAUCACAGACAGACUGAAAUAAAUUGACUGAAAAUGACAGUCUGAAAUGAAUUUACUGCAUAGCCCUAGAUCUGUAUCCCCCUAGAUGCUCAGGGCUAGUGCUCACAGUCUGCGAAUACAAACCAUCACUGUAAAUACCCACUGUUGAGAUGAGCAUUGUCCAGGGACAUGCUUAUCCAGAGCUCUCCCAGGGCAUGGAGGAUGUGGGACACAGUACUUAGGUUUGGAAAAUGUAUUGGAAUUAAUUUAUCAAAACUUCCUCUAAGAUAACAUGAGUGUGAUAGUUCUUCCAUGUUGAAGUACCAUUUUUCCCUAGUACUGAGGGUUUACUUUUUUUCUUGCUUCUCUUCUCUUACAAUUCCUGGCUCUGUAGGUACUAAAAAAUUAGCAUACUAUUUGCAGUAGUUGAAUAUUGAGACUGAG
ensembl:lncRNA